rnacentral:rRNA from 1 species
GGGCCCGCACAAGCGGAGGAACAUGUGGUUUAAUUCGAUGAUACGCGAGGAACCUUACCCGGGCUUGAAAUGCAGAGGGAUGUGGUGGAAACAUUGCAGUUCGCAAGAACCUCUGUGUAGGUGCUGCAUGGUUGUCGUCAGCUCGUGCCGUGAGGUGUCGGCUUAAGUGCCAUAACGAGCGCAACCCCUACCGGUAGUUACCAUCAGGUGAAGCUGGGGACUCUACCGGGACUGCCGCCGUAAGGUGCGAGGAAGGCGGGGAUGACGUCAAAUCAGCACGGCCCUUACGUCCGGGGCGACACACGUGUUACAAUGGGGGGUACAAAGGGCCGCUACCUGGCGACAGGAUGCCAAUCUCCAAAACCCCUCUCAGUUCGGAUCGGAGUCUGCAACCCGACUCCGUGAAGCUGGAUUCGCUAGUAAUCGCGCAUCAGCCAUGGUG